GUAGUGUCAGCGUUGUCCGGAUUAUUGGGCGUAAGCGCGCGCAGGCGGCUAUGUAAGUCUGGUGUUAAAGCCCGGGGCUCAACCCCGGUUCGCAUCGGAAACUGUGUAGCUUGAGUGCAGAAGAGGAAAGCGGUAUUCCACGUGUAGCGGUGAAAUGCGUAGAGAUGUGGAGGAACACCAGUGGCGAAGGCGGCUUUCUGGUCUGUAACUGACGCUGAGGCGCGAAAGCGUGGGGAGCAAACAGGAUUAGAUACCCUGGUAGUCCACGCCGUAAACGAUGAGUGCUAGGUGUUGGGGGUUUCAAUACCCUCAUUGCCGCAGCUAGCGCAAUAAGCACUCCGCCUGGGGAGUACGCUCGCAGGAGUGAAACUCAAAGAAGGUGGGCCCUCGGCCGCACAACCUAUGCAACAUGUCAUUUAAUUCGAUGGAACGCAAAGAACCUUACCGGGUCUUGAUGGCCAGAAAGGCAACCUAAUCUCCAGGGUUGGCUUCGGGGAAGCCAGAACUGGUGAGGUUUCCUCCGAAUUCUUCCAAUUUAAACACAUGGUCCCCCCGUUGGGGGGGCGCCCCCUAAAUUUUCUUGAAUUUCCCCCCUUGGGAGAGGAAUCCCCCGAGGGGGAGGGGGUCUAUU
rnacentral:rRNA from 1 species